rnacentral:rRNA from 1 species
CCUACGGGUGGCAGCAGUGAGGAAUAUUGGUCAAUGGGCGCGAGCCUGAACCAGCCAAGUCGCGUGAGGGAAGACGGUCCUAUGGAUUGUAAACCUCUUUUGUCGGGGAGCAAAAGACGCCACGCGUGGCGUUCCGAGCGUACCCUAAGAAAAAGCAUCGGCUAACUCCGUGCCAGCAGCCGCGGUAAUACGGAGGAUGCGAGCGUUGUCCGGAUUUAUUGGUGUAAAGGGGUGCGCAGGCGGAAGGUCACGUCAGCGGUAAAAUUGAGAGGCUCAACCUCUUCGAGCCGUUGAAACUGGUUUUCUUGAGUGAGUGAGAAGUAUGCGGAAUGCGUGGUGUAGCGGUGAAAUGCAUAGAUAUCACGAAGAACUCCGAUUGCGAAGGCAGCACACCGGCGCUCAACUGACGCUCAUGCACGAAAGUGUGGGUAUCGAACAGGAUUAGAUACCCGUGUAGUC